rnacentral:lncRNA from 1 species
AUAAGGGUUUUUGUAAUUUGGUUUCAAGGUCAGCUAUUGUUUGAUGUGUUUUCAGAUUCAUCACUCCACAACUUCCUGGGUGGGCUGGGGUAUCAUCAGCUAGCAGUGGCUCGCCGUUUCACUUGUUUAAAAAAAUAAAUAUUUGAAAGUGCAUAACCUUUGCAACAAACCCUAAACUUUCCACAAAUAGUGUAAACCGGCAGGCAUAUAACUGCUGAUCUUGUUUAUUAUUGAACUACGCCCAGGAAAUGACUACUUCUGGUUGCAGGUCCAGUUGAAGUCAAAAAUCGGAAAAAAACAAGAUAUUUCAAAUCUUGGGUCAAAAUGACCUUCUUUACACUUCUGUACCAAGAUCAGAUUCACUCUGACCUAAGAACUGUUGUGGUAAAUGUGUUCACUAGUGUGCUCUCUACAUAAAGACUACUGAUGGAUACAUCAAUCAGCAUCG